CGGCUGCCUAAAACUUGGACUUUUUCGGCCAUAAAACAGGAACAUUUUGGAACAAAUUGGCCCGUCUAGUUUGCAUUUUUGUGUGGAAGAUACGGUGGCCGUACACUUUCCGAAUUAGCCUCUACAAUUGCUGUUCUGUUAUUGAUUUCCGGAUAACGUUCCACCACGGCCCUAGUAGAAGAAAUGCCACAAUCGGGAACCUGGACUAUGGCGUAAACAUUGGAAGCACUGUUUUCCGGAUAGAUGAAACACCAUCGGAAAUGUCACAUCGGUGAUUACCUCGAAGACAGGAUUGUGCACGAGAUCUCUAGUGGAACCGCAUUCUGGAGCGGCCAAACUAUCAUCCCGACGUGGAAUGGGAUUCCUGAUGUUCCAGCAACAACAGUUUGACCACAUAAGUACCUCCUGCAGGAACCCCAAGACGUUCAUUGUGGAUAUCAGUAUUUACGUUCGUCAAUAUCGCGUUCCCCGUGAUUGUAUGCUUUAAGAGCAAUCAAGUUUUUUGUUUCAUAGUUCAAUAAAUGUUUUAUUCAGGUUUUCUUUUAUUUUAGUAA